GCACUAGGAGGGUCUCUAAAACUAGAGAGCACCCCCCCCUCCUGCAACUCCAAGACUAUCAGGGCAAGAUUGUCGGUGGCGUCCCGAAUAAUUGUAUCUGAACUCUGACCAUGCCUGUGAGCCCUAGCAUGAGUGUUUUGCCUACGUUGAUGUUUCAGAUUGGGGUUAGACUUUUGGUUAAGCUCCUAGCUUUAUUCUGUUGUUGCGCAUUUCAAAGGCAGUUACAGCUAGCAUUUUGUUGUGUGGCUGGAUUGUAUUAUUUGAUCUUUAAAGAAGUAAAGAUUGCGACUUGAGGUUUGCUUUUA